CUGUGCAUGGACCUCCUGGCUUGGUGACAGCCUCUGGAAUGUGUCUGAUCCUGACCUAUGGGUUCACCACCACGCUGGCCUUGGAGUUGUGUCAGCCCCUUGAGCUUGUCUAAUGGGAGCCUGUGGUUGAAGGUGCUCUGCUGUCCUCAUCAGCCAUUGUGGGACUGGCUCUGUCCUCAGCUCCUGCUUCCCUGCCCUGCUGGAAGAAGACAUGGAUUAAUCAAGCCCCUCUGUUGUGGCUGGCUGAAAUUCUUCAGUUCUAAGAAGGGAUCUGGUUUUCCUCUUCCACACAGACCCAGAAGUGGGCCUGCUACCAUGCUUCAGAUCACAGGCAGCUUUCCCAGUGGCACAGAACCAGGGUGUGAAAGGGGUCAUUCAGCAGCGUCUCGCCACAGAGAAGAGCACUAUUGAACUCCUUGGAAAAGCUAUGAAAUUUCAUACACUGGUUGCAACCCCAGGAGACUAAUCCAGCCCCAAACACUAUCACUCUUAGAUUUGUGUUUCACUCAAGAAGUCAUGAAGCAAUCUAUUUUGCCAGGGGAAAAGGGGAAAAAAAUAGAAAAUCAUUAUUUUAUCAUCCUGAGUACUUUCCAUGUAUCACAAAUGCCUGAGAUCUUGGAGAAAUCUCUCAGUUGUGCAGAAAAGCAUUACACCGGCUGGGAACUCAGCGUUUCUUUGGGUAUUUCUGCUUGUCAUUUUUACUUACAUACAAAUAUUAAUGAAGACCUAAAUGUGCCCUUUUCCUAUUGCCCUUUAUGUUUUGAUAAAGAUGGCUCAUAAUCCUACAGCUGUCUUUUCCCCCACUUUAAAAGGUUCUGGCUUCUUAUUGCUGUCAGGAUAAUGCUGCAUCAUUCCACCUAACCACCAAUAAAUAGAAAUGCAGAGCCAUGACUUCUAUUCGAAAGCAUGCAGGCUCCUUUGUACUGUUUCUGUAUAUAUAAAUCUAUCUUCCAACUUGUAGCUGUAGUACAACAUCUGAAUUAAAUCAUGACUUAUUCUUUCUAUUAAAGCUGUGUUGUCCUUGCCAUUAUCCCCUUUUCCAGUAAACGAGUACAAUGAAAAAUUGAUUCUAGCUGUAUUGGACUGCAGCAAAAUAACAAAAGAUGAUUGUUACAUUAUCAAAGCCCUCUCUGCUUCCAUAAUAUAGGAAUCGAAACCACCUGCCUUUAUCUUCUCAAUCAAUAUUGCACCUGAGUCACAUUUUCCUGGAAAACACUUUAAAGGUGUCCACUGUAUGUUAUUUAGAUUUAACAGAUGCAUUAUUCAGGCUGUCUUCAUUUGUUUUGAUUACCUGAGAUUGCUCUGCCAUCCCGGUGAGUUAUAUAAAGCCUGAUAUUAAAUGCCAUGCUAGACUAGUGUGUCAGUAACAAUAUCAGAUGACUUCUCUUAUGUGAAGCAGUGUGACAGCCGAACAAGUACACUGGGUGAAAUGUAUGUAGAAAACUUGUGCUCAACAGGGACAGUUCAUUGUGUGCUGCUCCCUGCCUAAAAGGCAGAGCAGGGCAGAGGGCUUCAGUUAAUGGUUGCUAGGACAAAAUGACCUUACUGGGAGCAGAUUUGGGGAGGGCAAGAGCGGACAUUAGAGUCUGCAUUUCCAGAAAGGAUGAGCCUGUGUUGGAUGCCUAAACCUGUCAGCUGGGCUUUACAGCCUUGCUUUUUAAUAUUGUUAACAGGCAAUGCUUAAGAGCAGCUAAUUUACUGCAUGUCUUGCUAGCAGU